rnacentral:tRNA from 1 species
GAGGCUGUGGCUCAGCGGUAGAGUGCUUGCCUACCAUGUGUGAAGCCCUGGGUUCAAUCCCCAGCACCACA